AUUGAACGCUGGCGGCAGGCCUAACACAUGCAAGUCGAGCGGAUGAAGGGAGCUUGCUCCUGGAUUCAGCGGCGGACGGGUGAGUAAUGCCUAGGAAUCUGCCUGGUAGUGGGGGAUAACGUCCGGAAACGGGCGCUAAUACCGCAUACGUCCUGAGGGAGAAAGUGGGGGAUCUUCGGACCUCACGCUAUCAGAUGAGCCUAGGUCGGAUUAGCUAGUUGGUGGGGUAAAGGCCUACCAAGGCGACGAUCCGUAACUGGUCUGAGAGGAUGAUCAGUCACACUGGAACUGAAACACGGUCCAGACUCCUAAGGGAGGCAGCAGUGGGGAAUAUUAGGCAAUGGGCGAAAGCCUGAUCCAGCAAUGCCGCGUGUGUGAAGAAGGUCUUCGGAUUGUAAAGCACUUCGAGUAGGGAGGAAGGGCAGUGAGUUAAUACCUUGCUGUUUUGACGUUACCAAAGGAGUAAGCACCGGCUAACUUCGUG
rnacentral:rRNA from 1 species